rnacentral:rRNA from 1 species
GAUGAACGCUGGCGGCGUGCCUAAUACAUGCAAGUCGAGCGAACGGACGAGAAGCUUGCUUCUCUGAUGUUAGCGGCGGACGGGUGAGUAACACGUGGAUAACCUACCUAUAAGACUGGGAUAACUUCGGGAAACCGGAGCUAAUACCGGAUGAUAUUUUGAACCGCAUGGUUCAAAAGUGAAAGACGGUCUUGCUGUCACUUAUAGAUGGAUCCGCGCUGCAUUAGCUAGUUGGUAAGGUAACGGCUUACCAAGGCAACGAUGCAUAGCCGACCUGAGAGGGCGAUCGGCCACACUGGAACUGAGACACGGUCCAGACUCCUACGGGAGGCAGCAGUAGGGAAUCUGCCGCAAUGGGCGAAAGCCUGACGGAGCAACGCCGCGUGAGUGAUGAAGGUCUUCGGAUCGUAAAACUCUGUUAUUAGGGAAGAACAUAUGUGUAAGUAACUGUGCACAUCUUGACGGUACCUAAUCAGAAAGCCACGGCUAACUACGUG